rnacentral:misc_RNA from 1 species
AAAAAGGAAUUGCGGGAAAAAAGCAUGCAGGGAUAUUGCUCGGUGGAUGUAUGAUGUGUCAAUUCCUUUCAAUGCCACUAAUUAUCCUACUUUUCAUGUGAUGUUGGAGACUGCUGAACAAUUGAGGAUUGGUUUGAAGGAACCUGGUUAUCAUGAAUUGCGGGUUUCCUUAUUGAAUAAAGAAGUUACUGAUGUUAAGAAUUCAUUGAAAUCCUAUGCAGAAGAAUGGGCGAAGUAUGGUUGUUCUAUAAUGGCAAAUGGUUGGACUGAUGAGAAGCAAAGGAUUUUGAUUAAUUUCUUG